AGCCCUGGGAUGUUUAUCUAGGGUUAUAUCUGCCCAGUGUAUUAAUUAACGGCCGCGGUACCCUGACCGUGCUAAGGUAGCGCAAUCACUUGACUUUUAAAUGGAGUCAUGUAUGAAUGAAGUUAUGGGGGAUAGCUGUCUCAGGAUUACUUUAUUGAAUUUACUAUCUAGGUGAAAAAGCCUAGUAAUAAAAGAGGGACGAGAAGACCCUUAGAGUUUUUUAGUUAUAAGAUUUUCUUAAAUCUAUUUUAUUGGGGCAAUACAGGAGAAGUUAAACCUCCUUUAUUUACAGACCGAUAGGUUAUAAAAAUGAAUAAACUACCUUAGGGAUAACAGCAUAAUUUUAUAAAAAAGUUUGUGACCUCGAUGUUGGACUAGGAUCCUUAAGGGUUAGCCGUUCUUAAGGAAGGUUCUGUUCGAACUUUGUCUCCU
rnacentral:rRNA from 1 species